rnacentral:rRNA from 1 species
AACAAGGUUUCCGUAGGUGAACCUGCGGAAGGAUCAUUACCGAGUUCUCGGGCUUCGGCUCGAAUCUCCCACCCUUUGUGAACAUACCUCUGUUGCUUUGGCGGCUCUUUGCCGCGAGGAGGCCCUCGCGGGCCCCCCCGCGCGCUUUCUGCCAGAGGACCUUCAAACUCCAGUCAGUAAACGUCGACGUCUGAUAAACAAGUUAAUAAACUAAAACUUUCAACAACGGAUCUCUUGGUUCUGGCAUCGAUGAAGAACGCAGCGAAAUGCGAUAAGUAAUGUGAAUUGCAGAAUUCAGUGAAUCAUCGAAUCUUUGAACGCACAUUGCGCCCCCUGGCAUUCCGGGGGGCAUGCCUGUUCGAGCGUCAUUACAACCCUCAAGCUCUGCUUGGUAUUGGGCGCCGUCCUCUCUGCGGACGCGCCUUAAAGACCUCGGCGGUGGCUGUUCAGCCCUCAAGCGUAGUAGAAUACACCUCGCUUUGGAGCGGUUGGCGUCGCCCGCCGGACGAACCUUCUGAACUUUUCUCAAGGUUGACCUCGGAUCAGGUAGGGAUACCCGCUGAACUUAAGCAUA